rnacentral:rRNA from 1 species
AUCGUACCCCAAACCGACACAGGUGGUCAGGUAGAGAAUACCAAGGCGCUUGAGAGAACUCGGGUGAAGGAACUAGGCAAAAUGGUGCCGUAACUUCGGGAGAAGGCACGCUGGUGUGUAGGUGAAGUCCCUGCGGGUGGAGCUGAGACCAGUCGAAGAUACCAGCUGGCUGCAACUGUUUAUUAAAAACACAGCACUGUGCAAACACGAAAGUGGACGUAUACGGUGUGACGCCUGCCCGGUGCCGGAAGGUUAAUUGAUGGG